rnacentral:lncRNA from 1 species
CAGAGUUUUGGUUUAUCAAUUAGUUUCACUGUUGCAGACCAUGAAGAGCAAAGCAAUGUGUUCGGAGAACGGAGAGUUAGCUUGGAAGCAAAUGCCAACGAGCCUGAGGAAAAGAACCUAGCUAACGUCAUAUCAACUGAUCUCCACACCAAAACUCUGCAGCAUGAUAAUGACAGAAUAGCUGAAGAGACUGAUAAAGGUACAACCGAAUUAAUCCUGCCCAGACUGACCUAGAAAUUAAGUUAAACGAUGAACUUGCUGAUCCGGGUAUGGACUGUGUUUAAUUUACCAAUUUUAAACAUACUGAGUUCUAAGUCAAAUUGUUGGCUACGUGUAAUUCUAAUCAUUAGCUUUGUCCAUUAUUGUCAUGUUAUAUACUGAAAGGAAGACUUUGUCGUUCCAAAAUCACCAAAUGGUUUAUCAAUUAGUUUCACUGUUGCAGACCAUGAAGAGCAAAGCAAUGUGUCCGGAGAACGGAGAGUUAGCUUGGAAGCAAAUGCCAACGAGCCUGAGGAAAAGAACCUAGCUAACGUCAUAUCAACUGAUCUCCACACCAAAACUCUGCAGCAUGAUAAUGACAGAAUAGCUGAAGAGACUGAUAAAGGUACAACCGAAUUAAUCCUGUAUCCAUAAUAAAAACUCCGCAACAUUGAUGAGUGAAGAUAAUAUGUAUGCUGAACAUCUAAAUCCACCUGUGCCAACUGAUUAUUCACUAUUUUUUUUCUAAAGAUCUUGCUUAGUAAUCUUGCUUCAAGAUUUUCAAUUCACUAAAUUAAACUUGCUAAAUCUCCAG